rnacentral:misc_RNA from 1 species
UACGACUACAAUUUUAACUAAUCAAAAAUGACCACUUACACAUUACAAAAAUAGACAAAGAUAAACACUAUGAAUCACGUAAACAUGAGAACACCAAAAUCGAAAUUUAUAGUCGUAUAAACAGGUUCAAAACGAGAGAGGAUCGAACGAUGAUUGCUUCUCCUGGGCUACGGUCGGCGGUCAAGUCGACGUCGCUCACUGCACAGGCGUCGAUCGAUAGAAACAAGAAAAGCCACCCUUGCAACUUGCGAACUCUACCCAGGGAUACAGGACACACA